CGUGUAGGCGGCCUUGUAAGUCCGUUCUGAAAGUCCGGGGCUCAACCCCGGGAGGCGGAUGGAUACUGCAAGGCUCGAGUACGGAAGAGGCGAGUGGAAUUCCCGGUGUAGCGGUGAAAUGCGCAGAUAUCGGGAGGAACACCAAUGGCGAAGGCAGCUCGCUGGGACGUUACUGACGCUGAGACGCGAAAGCGUGGGGAGCAAACA
rnacentral:rRNA from 1 species